rnacentral:rRNA from 1 species
CCAAUAGCGUAUAUUAAAGUUGUUGCAGUUAAAAAGCUCGUAGUUGAAUUUUGGGUCUGGCCGGGCGGUCCGCCCUCUGGGUGAGCACUGUUCCGACGCCGGGCCUAUCCUUCUGGUGAGUCGGCAUGUCCUUUGUUGGGUGUGUCGGGGAACCAGGACCAUUACCUUGAAAAAAUUAGAGUGUCCAAAGCAGGCGUAUGCUCGGAUACAUUAGCAUGGAAUAAUGAAAUAGGACGCGUGGUGCUAUUUUGUUGGUUUCUAGAACCGCCGUAAUGAUUAAUAGGGAUAGUUGGGGGCAUUAGUAUUCAAUUGUCAGAGGUGAAAUUCUUGGAUUUAUUGAAGACUAACUUCUGCGAAAGCAUUUGCCAAGGAUGUUUUCAUUAAUCAAGAACGAAAGUUAGGGGAUCGAAGACGAUCAGAUACCGUCGUAGUCUUAACCAUAAACUAUGCCGACUAGGAAUCGGGCGAUGUUAUUCUCAUGACUCGCCCGGCGCCUUAUG